AAACUACUCCCUCCGUUCGGAAUUACUUGUCUCAAAAAUGGAUGUAUCUAGAACUAAAAUACGUCUAUAUACAUCCAUUUCUACGACAAGUAAUUCCGAACGGAGGGAGUAAGUG
rnacentral:pre_miRNA from 1 species